rnacentral:rRNA from 1 species
AACGAACGCUGGCGGCAUGCCUAACACAUGCAAGUCGAACGAGACCUUCGGGUCUAGUGGCGCACGGGUGCGUAACGCGUGGGAAUCUGCCCUUGGGUACGGAACAACAGUUAGAAAUGACUGCUAAUACCGUAUAAUGACUCCGGUCCAAAGAUUUAUCGCCCAGGGAUGAGCCCGCGUCGGAUUAGCUAGUUGGUGAGGUAAAAGCUCACCAAGGCGACGAUCCGUAGCUGGUCUGAGAGGAUGAUCAGCCACACUGGGACUGAGACACGGCCCAGACUCCUACGGGAGGCAGCAGUGGGGAAUAUUGGACAAUGGGCGAAAGCCUAAUCCAGUAAUGCCGCGUGAGUGAUGAAGGCCUUAGGGUUGUAAAGCUCUUUUACCCGGGAUGAUAAUGACAGUACCGGGAGAAUAAGCCCCGGCUAACUCCGUGCCAGCCGCCGCCGUAAUAC